ensembl:lncRNA
ACCUGCCCCCGAGCCUCCAGACCAGGGCCCUGAGAAGAUGCCGAGAUUAGUCAUCUGCUCUGAAGCGGGCUAAGACGGCGCCAAUAAGCUGCCAACUGCAGGCAGUUCCCGUUAAAGCAAAGCAGCUGGAAAGGGCUUAGCCCUUUAAUGCUAGCAGCUGUAUCUCCACAGUGUGGCUGCUCUGCUGAGGGGCUGGACUCUGUCCAGAAGCAUCAAGCAUUUAGCCCCAGUCGAUGUAUAUUAACCUAGGAGGAGAGCAGCCAGCUCCCUGGGAAGAGGGGAGGUGGUUCAGUUAAGCACCUCCACCCCCAGGUUUUGCUUUCCAAUGAAGAAGAAAAAUCCCAGCCCCUUUGUAGGACUCGCUCUACUAAAAUCUGGACAAACAGUAUCAUCUCACAGGCAGAAAGAGCUUUUCUCACAGGUCUCAAGUAUUCUUUGGAUGCCAGGUGUACAUUUGUGUGAACACAACAAACGGGCUUCCUCUUUUCCAAGAGGCUCCUCAGAGCCCUGGGCUCUGAGGGUGAUGAGGGAGAAAGCUGAACAGCCCUCAGAAAGCCCUGGCACAGAGCUGGCUGCUGAAGAGAGAUCACUCGAAGACUUCUUACUCAAAGCCAGAUGGUGAACAUGAGACGGGGUGAGAGCUAAUGCCACUCAGGGGAAAGCCAAUAAGCUAAUCCGCUGACACGUCUCUAGAAGCGGGCUGAUGGCUUUGGCUCAGUCUUGCCUGAUCUUAGCUCUGGGCUUCAGAGCACACAAGAUGCACAUGGGUGGCCCAGGAAGACUCCCACGAGGACAAACUUAAGCUCAUCCUCCACCAGCCCAUCCUUUCUUUCCACACAGAGGACAGCACCAGACCACCAAGCCCAGGUCCUCCAACUGACCCAACAACCCAACAUUAUGGAAUGAAUAAUCUCCAGUCCCAAUGCUUUUCCCAGCGGUCUGGGCCUUCCUGCUCUUUCUGGGUCAUCUGUCGAGAGUGCAUAGGCACGUCUGCAUACAGCCAGCCCUGAGUCGAAUUAUUUACAUACUUAAUAUCAUAGGCCCCAUGAUGCUGGGGAAGUCUGAAGUAGCAAACACCACAGCUAACCUCCAGAGCAGGAGCUGUAA